GAUGAACGCUGGCGGCGUGCCUAAUACAUGCAAGUCGAGCGAACGGACGAGAAGCUUGCUUCUCUGAUGUUAGCGGCGGACGGGUGAGUAACACGUGGAUAACCUACCUAUAAGACUGGGAUAACUUCGGGAAACCGGAGCUAAUACCGGAUAAUAUUUUGAACCGCAUGGUUCAAAAGUGAAAGACGGUCUUGCUGUCACUUAUAGAUGGAUCCGCGCUGCAUUAGCUAGUUGGUAAGGUAACGGCUUACCAAGGCAACGAUGCAUAGCCGACCUGAGAGGGUGAUCGGCCGCCCUGGAAGGGAGACACGGUCAAGACUCCUACGGGAGGCAGCAGUAGGGAAUGGUCCGCAAUGGGCGGAAGCCUGACGGAGCAGCGCCGCGUGAGUGAUGAAGGUCUUGGGAUCGGAAAAAUCUGUUAUGAGGGAAAAACAUAUGUGUAAGUAACUGUGCACAUCUUGACGGUACCUAAUCAGAAAGCCACGGCUAACUACGUG
rnacentral:rRNA from 1 species